rfam:Algibacter lectus DNA, contig: contig00009, strain: JCM 19300.
CCCCAGCCCAACCCCGCGUUAACGAUUGCAGCGGCAUCCUUUUUAAAAAUUUAAGCAGCCAAAAACUUUGUUAUUUCUACAAACAUUCUAGAUGAACACUACCAUACGGAAAGCUCUAAAUUUUUAAAAAGAUAUAGCGGAAAGCGUGUUAAAAC